GACGAACGCUGGCGGCGUGCCUAAUACAUGCAAGUCGUGCGGACCUUGUUGAAAGCUUGCUUUUAAAAGGUUUGCGGCGGCCGGGUGAGUAACACGUGGGCAACCUGCCUGUAAGACUGGGAUAACGCCGGGAAACCGGGGCUAAUACCAGAUCGUUUUUUCAUCCGCAUGGAGAAAAAAGGAAAGGCGGCUUCGGCUGCCACUUACAGAUGGGCCCGCGGCGCAUUAGCUAGUUGGCGGGGUCAUGGACCACCAAGACAACGCUGCGUAGCCGACCUCCGAGGGUGCACGGCCACGAUGGGAGUGAGACACGGCCCCAACACCUUCGGGAGGCAGCAGUAGGGAAUCUUACGCAAUGGCCGUAAGUCUGACGGAGCGACGCCGCGUGAUGGAAGAAUGCCUUCGGGUCGUAAAACUCUGUUGCCGGUGAAGAAUAAGUGACGUACGAACAGGGCGACGCCUUGACGGUACCCUGCCAGAAAGCCACGGCUAACUACGUG
rnacentral:rRNA from 1 species